UUAUGGCCACACCAUGUUGAAACACCAGUUACCACGUGAUCACUGAAGUUAAGCAACAUUGAGCCAGGUCAGUAUCUAGAUAAAUGACCAUUUGGGAAUAUCAGGUGCUGUAAG